rnacentral:misc_RNA from 1 species
CGCACAUUGCGCCCAUUAGUAUUCUAGUGGGCAUGCCUGUUCGAGCGUCAUUUCAACCCUUAAGCUUAGCUUAGUAUUGGGAAUCUGCUUAACCGCAGCUCCUUAAAUCUAGUUGGCAGAGUGUAGUUGUACUCUGAGCGUAGUAAUUCAUUAUCUCGCUUUCUGAAGACACUAUCCUAUCGCCAUAAACCUAUUUAUUUUUUACUGGUUGACCUCGGAUCAGGUAGGAAUACCCGCUGAACUUAA